AACGAACGCUGGCGGCAGGCCUAACACAUGCAAGUCGAGCGGACCUUUCGGGGUCAGCGGCGGACGGGUGAGUAACGCGUGGGAAUAUGCCCUUCUCUACGGAAUAGUCCUGGGAAACUGGGGGUAAUACCGUAUACGACCUUUGGGGGAAAGAUUUAUCGGGGAAGGAUUAGCCCGCGUUGGAUUAGGUAGUUGGUGGGGUAAUGGCCUACCAAGCCGACGAUCCAUAGCUGGUUUGAGAGGAUGAUCAGCCACACUGGGACUGAGACACGGCCCAGACUCCUACGGGAGGCAGCAGUGGGGAAUCUUAGACAAUGGGGGCAACCCUGAUCUAGCCAUGCCGCGUGAGUGAUGAAGGCCUUAGGGUUGUAAAGCUCUUUCAGCUGGGAAGAUAAUGACGGUACCAGCAGAAGAAGCCCCGGCUAACUCCGUG
rnacentral:rRNA from 1 species